UGGGCUUGACAUGUGGGGAAAAGCCGUAGAGACACGGUGUCCGAAAGGGUCCCACAC
rnacentral:rRNA from 1 species